UACGAAGGGUGCAACCGUUGCUCGGAAUCAUUGGGCGUAAAGCGCGCGUAGGCGGCCUCGUAAGUCCGUUGUGAAAGUCAAAGGCUCAACCUUUGAAAGCCGAUGGAUACUGUGAGGCUAGAGUCCGGAAGAGGCGAGUGGAAUUCCUGGUGUAGCGGUGGAAUGCGCAGAUAUCGUGAGGAAGACCGGUGGCGAAGGCGGAUCUCUGGACAGUUCCUGACGCUGAGGCGCGAAGGCCAGGGGAGCAAACGGG
rnacentral:rRNA from 1 species